CCUACGGGUGGCAGCAGUGGGGGAUAUUGCACAAUGGGGGAAACCCUGAUGCAGCGAUGCCGCGUGAAUGAAGACGGCCUUCGGUUUGUAAAGUUCUGUCGCAGGGGACGAAAAUGACGGUACCCUGCAAGAAAGCUCCGGCUAACUACGGUCCAGCAGCCGCGGUAACCCGUAGGGAGCAAGCUUUGUCCGGUAUUAAUGGGUGAAAAGGGAGCGUAGGCGGGAGGAUAAGUUGAAUGUAAAAUCUAUGGGUUCAACCCAUAGCUGCGUUCAAAACUGUUCUUCUUGAGUGAAGUAGAGGCAGGCGGAAUUCCUAGUGUAGCGGUGAAAUGCGUAGAUAUUAGGAGGAACACCAGUGGCGAAGGCGGCCUGCUGGGCUUUUACUGACGCUGAGGCUCGAAAGCGUGGGUAGCGAACAGGAUUAGAUACCCCUGUAGUC
rnacentral:rRNA from 1 species